GCGUGGAGGAAGAAGGCCUUCGGGUCGUAAACUCCUGUCAGUUGGGACGAAAAGCCGUCGGUAAAUACCCGGCGGUCAUGACGGUACCAGCAGAGGAAGCCCCGGCUAACUCCGUGCCAGCAGCCGCGGUAAUACGGAGGGGGCAAGCGUUAUUCGGAAUUAUUGGGCGUAAAGGGCACGUAGGCGGCUUGGCAAGUCAAAGGUGAAAUCCCUCGGCUCAACCGAGGAACUGCCUUUGAAACUGCCUCGCUAGAGGCUGGGAGGGGGUAGCGGAAUUCCCGGUGUAGCGGUGAAAUGCGU
rnacentral:rRNA from 1 species